UCUCUCUCUCCCCCCUUGAUUGAAAUUGUUUUUCUGGGAGGCUCAGUUAGCAGGAAGUUUGGACUUGUAGCCUGCUAGAGAUGGGGAGGACUAACAAUUGCAGUGUUAAUUGAAUGGAGGAAGAAGAAGAAGAGGGGAAGGGCAGUGUUGGACCUGAGUUGCUCCUUUGGAUACGCAAGGACUGGGGGAGGGAAAAGGGGGGGAGAGGCAGAGAGGAACCUGCUGCCGCUUGCUGGCUCUUUGUCUGCUCAGGGAACUUGAACAAAAGGAGAAACUCGGAUGAACUCUCCAUCUCUCUCUUCUCCUGGGUUAUCUAAUCUUCGGGAACUUUAUCCAGAGAGCAUUACCCAACUUCCUUCAAGCUCUCUCAGUACUUACAAAACAAACGGCCCCAUCGUGGCCUCAUAAGGAAUUCCCUCGAUUUCGUUUUCAGACUUUAAAGAAGAGAGAAGGUAAAGUGUGAUUGUCAGAGAAGCAUGAUGGCUGCCAAAACACCUUAUAGCAAUAGUUGCCAUAUUGCAUUUGCUCUUCAAAUGGUAGAAUACAGCUGUGGAUACUUUAGUGGGGAUUAACAGAGUACAAACACUGAAUGACUAAAGACAUCAAACAUCAUCAUUUGGAUUUAUAUAUCUAUUAAUAAACUGAUAAAACUGGUGGUAGUGGCUCUUGAAGAAAUCAGAAAAUAUGGAAGGUGCUGUUGAAAAUGGUCUGGUGAUCGCUUUGUGACAAUGAUCUUCUACAAUUAAAAUAAGGGAAUUGGCCAUAUCUCUUUCUUUCGCCUGGUUGCUGAAGCAUUGUCACAGGACAGCAAGGAUUGAUGAAUAUUCUCCAGGUAUGAGUCAUGUCAGUACAGUGAAAGAGGAGGAUUUAUGUUUCUGAAGUGGAAUUGUGUAUGUGAUCAAAGGAUUUACAUGCAGCUCUCUGUGCUGUAGUUCCUUCCUGCUCCAGGAGGGACACCUGGGGUGAUGUCUUCGAACGUGGCAAAGGGCCUCUAUCCGCAAGCUGGCAUUAAGAUACCAUCAUUGGUCUCUGCAGCAGCAGCUUUAGAUACCACUGUGAUGGGCAACCUUGAAAUACCCAGAGCGGCAAGCAGCAUACCACAUCUUCAUUUUUAGCUCUUUUCCAUACUCUGCUCUGUUUCCCUGGAUAGGAACGAGGCCCAGAAUUCAAGCCAGUCUUCCUAAGUGAGGGACCCGCUCAAAACUGCUCACUGAUGGACAGUAGGUCUUGCCUGUCACUCUUGCUGUUAUGGCAGGAGGUACUGCAAUGGUGACCAAGCUAUGUCCAGGUUAUGCCUUUCUUCAGAUACUAAGGACUGCAGUAUGGUGGGCUAGGAUCUGAAGUGAAAGCUCUGGACCAUUUUACAUAGCCAUUGAGAUAGCCAUUAGAUGGUGACAACUUUCAAACACAACUGACCUGAGUUGGAUUCAGUUAGGUGACCAACAGGAGAAAAGUUCCACCUUCCAUUACCAGUCAUUGAAGUCACCCCACCUCCUCCAUGCUUCGAGCUGCGCUGUUUGGAAGAAGCAACGUCGUCGUCUCUCACAGCUACGACGCGGCACUGCUCUCAGCAUAUCCUGCUUUUUCCCCCCAUUUACCUGGGCGGCUUCUGCUGUCUCUGUUGCUGCUGCUGGGGCUGCUGCAGUUUCGCUGCCUGUGCUUCACCCUGGCAUGUCUGAGUCGGGAAUCACUCGUCUGCACGCUGCUAAGGAAGAGCAGCGAUGGAACUCUGGCCACAUUUUUUUUUUCCUGUUGGUGCUGGAAGAGAAGGGUUGUGAUGUGGGGUGAGGGUUUUUUUGGAAGGGUGGGGACGUUAAUCCAAAGUGAGGUGGGAGAAAGUUUAAAGAAAUAUUACGCAAAAUAAUCCAGCACACGACAAGGGCAUCAGCAGCAAGAAUCCAGCCUCUGCUGCUCGAAAGGAUUAACAUGGGAAAAGCCACAGUGAUGCAGUAGUGUUUCACCUCAGCAUUGUGCUGGAGAUGGAUAAAUAAGGUAUCUGAUAUGUCCGCCUGUAAAGGCAAAGCUAUGGGAGGAAGAGAGCGAGAGAGCAAAUGAAAAGGAAGAAGAAACACUGGAUUCUGUUUGUCUGAUUCUGUGCAUUCUUAUUCUAGAGAUGGUUGCAUAAUUUACCAAACAAUGUAUGGACGGAGGGACUGUAAAUUGUAGUCUGAACACUCCCGACGCUGUCAGGGAGGGAACUGAUGGGCUAGGUGACUGCACUGACAUCCCCAGGGAAAACAGCCGUCAUGCAGUAUAUAUUUAUAUAUGUAUGUGUAUCUCUUGUGUGUCCAUGUGCAGACAUGAAAAAAGGCAUUUCUACCAAUUUACACAGGAAGUUUGUCACUUUGCUAGAUCAGACUUGAUUGCAGCUUAUAUUUUCAGCUACAGCUCUACACCCAUUUCCUGAAUCAGAAGGUGUUUUGUGAAAACAGACGUAUGCAGAAUUCUUUUAAGAAAUGUGAAAGCAGCUCCUUUUGAUUUAACACCUUGAAGCACUGAAUCUUCGGUACUGUGCUGAGAGGAGCUGUGUGGGUUUUGUUUUUUUCAUCUUAAAAUCUUUAUAAACACAGCUGUAUUCAGUAUGGUGAAAAAUUCUAUACUGUAAAUAGAAAUGCGAUCAAUCUAACCAAAAUAAAUGUAUCCCAGAUGACUGCUAGACCAGCUGGCUACCACAGUCUUCAGAUGGCUAAAUGCUCAACUGAGAUGGAUUCAGCAUUAUAUUUACUACUACUUUUUUUUAUUUCAAAAUCAGCCUAUAAUUAAAAAAAGAUUCUUGGUCCGGUUAAAAGAGGCAAUGCUCACAAUUGGCAGUGCAUCAUUCUGAAAUGGACACUGAUAUUUUUCAUUUCUGGACAUGCCUUUGGAAGAUUGUGUUUUUAGAACAGAUGGACUUGUCAUAAUACAGACAUACUUAGUAUGGUGAAAACUAGUAGACGGCUCAGGUUGGCCAUAUCCAUGUAAUGUGCAAAAUGAAGUUAAGGGAAACAAAUGCUGCACUCAACUAGUGGGGACUUGGUAUGAUUUUUAGCAACCCCCUACAGUGAGAGUUUUGGUUUUUUUUAAACACAAAUCCAAAACCCAUAAAGUCAUCUUAAAAUUUGUAUGAGGGGAUUUCCCAAUAGUCAUGGUGAGCUAUCCUGCAAGACGCCUGUCUGGGCCUUCCACUAUUUGUUACCAGGUCUACAAAGGCAGCCCUGUAUGUUGGAUUAUAUUUAGCCAGCUGUUGGAUAACAUUCCUGUGUUGUGGGCGGAGGAGUCUUAUUACUUCCAAACUGUAGUUAUCUGUUUAAAGGAAAAAUAGUUUUGGAAAAUACAUUGAGCUCAGCUGAGGAGUUGCACCUCUCCUGUACCUUUCUCAAAUGCUGUGUUUCCAACCCAGCCACUUUAAAACAAAACUGGGAGGAGGAAGAGAGACUUAACUCAUAGCUUCAAAGCUGCAGAGACAAGCAAAAUGUCAGCAGCUUGUAAUUAGCUGCUCAUGGUUAUGUCAGUGACUGUAUCUCUCCAAGAAUAACUGUGAUGCGUGCCACAAAGUAAGGAAGAUAGUCAUAACCUAGUUAUCAAGCCUGGUUCAAACAAGAGCAAAUGGAUUAAUGAAUCUGCUGUGUUCAUAAAUCAAAUAUGGAUGGAUUACAUAUAUAAGAUUUACUGAAUUCUGCAUAAUUGAAGGGUGAAUUAGGAACUUGUCAGAGGGCACGUUCGCUAAGUAAAAGUGUGAAUCCUUUUAAAAAUGCAGAUGAACUAUCCCUGAAAAUGUCUUUAAGGGCUCCAUCUAGUACAAGCAGCUGUGAGACACUGAAGCAUGCUACAAAGGAAAAAACCAAGAGACGCACGGAGGUGCUUAAAAGAAAGGGAGUAAUAAAACAAAGAAAGCAUGCUGAAAUUCUGUUUUGGCAUUACAGAUUUGAUACUAAAAUACCACCCCAGAGAAGACUUAUUGUGGUCUGAUGUGGUUUAAAUUGACUCCUCUGUUUGAGUGCAAAAAAAGAAAAAAGGUUUUGUGAGGCUCAGUGCAACAUCUUGGAGCCAAGCAGAGAGCAGAGUACCAGAAAUGCUUGCUUUUAAAGGGACAAGAUCAAUCCAUACUAGGAUCUUUCUAUACUCUGCAAUUAUUUUAGGUCUAUGCUGGCAAUUCAGCAACAUUUAAACAGUGAGAUUGUGGGGGGUACUUAAUCUGCUCUGAUUGGUCUUUUUCCACAUUGUUGCUGUAAAAUGUUUACAUGGCUUUUAUCCAUACACCUUACAACAUUCAGUUUGCAUUUCUGUUUGUGUUCAUGCUGCACAAUUGCUACAAGCCUGGUUUGUUUCCAUAUUCCCAGCAGAAGUCAGUUUCAGUUCAGCUAUGUUUAUUUAGCUCCUUAAUACACCAAGAUAGAUAGAUUGUAUUUUGCAAACACAGAUUUUUUUUUUUUUACUGUGAACACAAAUUUGUAGGAGGAGAUGACUGUAUAUUAAACCAAUAGCUCUUUGAAAUGCAUGUAAUAUAAUUUAAAUAUACUUAAUUUAAUUAAUAGAAGGUUACAAAAGCU